rnacentral:rRNA from 1 species
UACGAAGGGGGCUAGCGUUGCUCGGAAUCACUGGGCGUAAAGGGUGCGUAGGCGGGUCUUUAAGUCAGGGGGGAAAUCCUGGAGCUCAACUCCAGAACUGCCUUUGAUACUGAGGAUCUUGAGCUCGGGAGAGGUGAGUGGAACUGCGAGUGUAGAGGUGAAAUUCGUAGAUAUUCGCAAGAACACCAGUGGCGAAGGCGGCUCACUGGCCCGAUACUGACGCUGAGGCACGAAAGCGUGGGGAGCAAACAGG